AUAUUGCCCUCACUAUUUAUUUAUUUUAUUUUUUGUUUUAUUUUCUUUCGGUAACUACUCCUAACUUUUGGUAACUACUCCUAACUAUUAUUGUUUUUCCAUAACCACAUAUAUCACUUCAUCUUCGACCAUCCUAUCAUCACCAUGGCACCAUCAUAAUACCUCUUUAUAUCCACGAUCACGGUUUCUCCGAAACCACAACCACCAGUUGCUUUAUAACCACUAUCGCUGAUCCGGUAACCGUCGCCGCUCCGGUCGCUGAUCCGGUAACCUCGCCGCUCCGGUAACCGCUGUCACUGCUGUAGCUACCACCACCACAUGUGUCUCUACCGUCGCAAUAAUCAUCACCUCUUCCGUAAUCUCCAUCAACUUCUUCAUGAACACAUCCAUCACAUGUCCACCAUUAUCAUAGCCACCAAGACCACCACUAACUCUGUAACCUCUGCUACAUCUUUCCAAUCUACCCAAUGAUUCUUCGAUCGUAACCACCAUCGCUUUUUAUUAUAGUGACUGUAAAAUUGAGUUUUAUCCUAUUUUCUAAUUUAUUCAAAUAUAUACUAUACUAUUUUGUCUAUUCCAUUCUAUUUAUAUUUUCAUUUGCUAAUUUUGUAUGAUGGAAGAGUAUGUCACAUGCAUAACUUAUAAUUUUGUUUCAUCUUGUCUUAUAUUCUAUUGUAUACAUAUGAUUUUUGGAAGCAACUUUUAGAGGUUGAUUGUUUGUGGUUUUUGCAUUAGUUUUUGGUUUUUGUUUUUGCAAAAACUAUUUUUCAUCCAACCAAGUUUUAGUUUUUAGUUUUUUGUUUUUGUAGAAACCAUUUGAUUUGCCAAUCAAGAUUUCUAAUAAAUAGAUUUCCUAAAAUUUAGGGAAACUAAUUUUUGAAAAGUUUAACCAAUUUGUAAAGAAAAAACAAAAACCAACUUUUGUGAGCUUUUAAAAGGAAAAACGAAUUUUGAUUUUUUUUGGGUAGAAACUACAAUAUUUAAUUAAUUAAUAAUUAAUAAAUAAUAUUUUCAUAAAUAUAAAUAAUCAUACAAUUUUUUGGUACAUUAGCUAUAAUUUAAACAAUAAUGUGAUAUAAUUUAUUUGUGUUUAAUAUCUGUAAAAUAAAUUUAUAUAGUUUAUAAAUAAUAUUAAUUAAUUUUAAAUCUUAGUUAUUAAUUUCUAUAUAUAAAAUAAUAGAAUAAUUUUAAUAAUUACUAGUCAAAUUAAAAAUAACUAAAAUUAUAAAAACAUAAUAUGUUUUGAUCAAUUUUAAUAGUAACUUCUAAAUGUUUAAUUUUUAUUUUUGUUGUAUUAUUUUAAAAUAAUGUAUUACUUGCUUUUUUGAAAAACUUAAAAAUUACAGCAAAACCAAAAACUAAAAUCUAAAUCUAAAAACCAAAAACCAAAAUAAAAAGCUGAAAAUCAAAAAGAAAAAGCUAAAAACCAAAAACCAAAAACCAAAAACUAAAACCAAAAUCUAAAAACCAAAAACAAAAACUAAAACCUACCCCAAACAAUCAUCACCUAAAACUAAAAACUACUGAAACAAUCAUCACCUUAAAUGUCUACAAAUAAAUAAAAUAUAUUUUCUAAUAAAUAGUUAUAUUUGAAUUAAUAUGUAUUAUACCAUUAGAUAUGUUCUAAAUAUUUCAAAUUUUAAUUUUAUUUAAAAUAUUGUAAGUAUAUAUAUUAUAUUUUAUAUUUAGGUUUAGGGUUUAUUGAUUAGGAUUUAGGGUUUAUUGAUUAGGAUUUAGGGUUUAGUAAUUAAAGGGGGUGGGGUUAGAGUAUGUUCACAUGCAUAAGUUAUAAUUUUGUUUCAUCUUGUCUAAUAUUCUAUUGGAUACAUAUGAUUUACUAAUUUUUAUCUGUCCACAAAUAAACAAAAUCUAUUUUCUAAUAAUCAUUCUAUUUCAAUUAAUAUGUACUAUACCAUUUUAUAUGUACUAUUCUAAUUUUGUUGUAGUUAUUUCAAAUUUUAAUUUUAUACCAUUUUAUAUGUUCUAUUCUACUCGUAGAAGGUGAUGGCCAUUUAAAAAAAAAAAUAACAAGUGAUAAGGUUUACAGUUACAUGUUGCUGAUGCGUAAGGAGAUACAAUGCUUGUUUAAUUCUUCUUUUUUGGUCGGAUAGUUUUGGUUCUGUGUUGCAAAGAUUUUCUUGUUUAAGUUGAAAAAAAGAAAAAAAGUUUUAGAGUUAUAUAUAUAUAGGCUAUAGCUAGUCUGUAGAUCUUGGAUUUAUAUUCAUUAUGAAUACGCAAAUAUUAAAUAGUUGAAUUUUGCAACCUGCAUAAUGAACCAAAUUUUAGCCAAAAAAAACUUGCAUAAUCAACAUUGUAGGUUUUCCGAAGUUAGCUUAUUUUAUUUUGUCGAAGAAUAUUAUAGAUUAUUAUAAUGGGUCAAAUUCUAGCCAUGCACGUACGUACAGUUUAAUUAUCUUUUACUUUUUAAUGGUACUAUGCAGAUGGGUCGGGUCACGGGUUCACAUUUCCUAUUUUUAUACCGAGUUGCAAUAAUGUUAAGUCUCCAAUAUAUACAAUUUCGGAUGUUGAAGCGUC
rnacentral:lncRNA from 1 species